UGGGGAAUAUUGCACAAUGGGCGCAAGCCUGAUGCAGCCAUGCCGCGUGUGUGAAGAAGGCCUUCGGGUUGUAAAGCACUUUCAGCGGGGAGGAAGGCGAUAAGGUUAAUAACCUUGUCGAUUGACGUUACCCGCAGAAGAAGCACCGGCUAACUCCGUGCCAGCAGCCGCGGUAAUACGGCGGGUGCAAGCGUUAAUCGGAAUUACUGGGCGUAAAGCGCACGCAGGCGGUCUGUCAAGUCGGACGUGAAAUCCCCGGGCUGAACCUGGGAGCUGCAUUCGAAACUGGCGGGCUAGAGUCUUGUAGAGGGGGGUAGAAUUCCAGGUGUAGCGGUGAAAUGCGUAGAGAUCUGGAGGAAUACCGGUGGCGAAGGCGGGCCCCUGGACAAAGACUGACGCUCAGGUGCGAAAGCGGGGGGAGCAGACAGG
rnacentral:rRNA from 1 species